rnacentral:rRNA from 1 species
GUCGAGAAUCUUUCACAAUGGGGGCAACCCUGAUGGAGCGACGCCGCGUGGAGGAUAAGGUCUUCGGAUUGUAAACUCCUGUCAUGCGUGAACAAGGUUGCUUGGUUAAUACCUGGGCAAAUUGAUGGUAACGCAAGAGGAAGAGACGGCUAACUCUGUGCCAGCAGCCGCGGUAAUACAGAGGUCUCAAGCGUUGUUCGGAAUCACUGGGCGUAAAGGGUGCGUAGGUGGCGUGGUAAGUCAGAUGUGAAAGCCCGGGGCUCAACCUCGGAACUGCAUCCGAUACUGCCAUGCUAGAGUACUGGAGAGGUGACUAGAAUUCUCGGUGUAGCAGUGAAAUGCGUAGAUAUCGAGAGGAAUACCAAAGGCGUAGGCAGGUCACUGGACAGUUACUGACACUGAGGCACGAAGGCCAGGGGAGCGAAAGGGAUUAGAAACCCUAGUAGUCC